rnacentral:rRNA from 1 species
AUGAAGACUGAAGCACUGCUCACAGUUGUCUUGAGCCUGAUAAAAUCUCUCAUACUUCUGUUCCUCCAUCAAGUCAUCUGUGGGCCUGAUAAAAUAUCUCAUACUUUUGUUCCCCUGUUUGCUUCUCCUUCUAUUAUCAUUUCUGAUAUGAUUUGGUUUCUUGCGGCCAUCCUGUCCCGAUCCUUGACAUCGGAGCUGUCUAUUCCGAGUGAGGUGUCAGCUGGUCAGAAAGUUAUGUGUAUGUUGCUUAAUGGGGCCAGGGAUAGUGUUGGACUACCUAAUUAUUGUUCGUCAGGUGUGGUGUCAUGGAAUGACAUAUCGUUUUUCUUUCUCGAACACGAUGACAUAUAG